rnacentral:lncRNA from 1 species
CGUGAAUACAUUUCCCAAUCAACUUUUUAUCUCACAUAUAUCAAAUCCUUACAGUACAUUUUCUACGAAACUCCAGAAAAUUGCAAUCCAAACGCAACAACUUAGGGUCAAUUACAGAAUGUAUUAUUGUUUAUAAUACAUAACAUGCCGCCUGUUAAAGCUGCAUUUCGUUGGUGAAUGCCAAAAUUUCCCACUUCUUAGUCAUACAUCAGGUCCUCUGACUACAUGGCUUUUCUUGCCAAAGUGCAUUGUGCCUGUAUAGAAAUGAGGAUCCACUUGAAAAUAGGAUGAGUAUACCCGGUGGGAUUCAUUUAUCUUUUCACAAGCACUUUCAUCGUUGAAAGGAUCUCUUUCUCCUGCAUCAUACAUACAAUUUUCAGAAGUUUCAUUGAAGAAACUUGGGCUUUGGUGAAAAUGGCCAAAGCCUCCUGCUGAAUUGUACUCAAUAGAAUUCACUUUCACUGCUAUGUGUGUCCAGAAAUAGACACAUCUGUGGUCCGAUUAGUCCAAUGCUUUGUGUCUUUAAAAGUAAGUACAUACAAAUCAAAUUGAUAACCUUUUUUGAAAAAAAAAAAAAAAAAAAUCCCCGGCAAGGGAGGAGUGGGACUCAAAAAGCAGGGAGAGUGCAGUAGAAUUUAAAUCCAAAAUCUCUAAUUCGUCGGGCUUCAAAUUUAGCCAUUAGAUCAAAUCUCUUCAAACAAAUCAAAUUGAUAAUUUAUAACAUGGUACUGAAAUUUAAUCUUUCCCAUGACACCUUUUUUUUUUCAUCUGGUUUUGUUCUUGAACUCUCUUUCAUUACUUUUUCUUUUCCCGGGGAAAGGGAUAAGAAAGAUGGAUUUGAAUAGGAGCACCGCCAAGUCACUGGACUUGACCGCCAAUACUUUUUUUACAUUGCUGCAUAGGUUGGAUGAUAACACAGAGCAGCUUAGAUGAUUCUUAAAGAACAAGUCAACAAACAAGUGAAAAACAUGAGUAUAGUAGUUUUACACCAGCAGCUGAGUCUCCUAAUAAGCACAAGUUCAACAAUCCUAAUUCUUGAAAACAACUUAAUGCUGAACCAUUACUAACUGAAAGUUGCAACUCACAAGAGUCUGAGAAGAGCAGGGAAUUACCGAAAAGGCAAUUAGAGCAGUAGCAACGUGUUGACUGCAUGACACCCACAGAAGAACACUUACCAGUAUAUUUGUCAACAAGAAGAGCUUCAGAGUAUAACAUGGAGCCUGGGGAUUCUCCAUUGCACUUUUUCGUACGUAUACCUGAGAUGAAGGCCUUCCCACUAAAACUCAUUCAACAAUGUGAAGGCUCAUAUGCCAUCCCUUUUAAGGAGUCUUAUUCAUUCCCCUUGCUGCAAGUUCAGUGUGAUGCAUGCUGCCACAGAAAUGAAAGAAUGGUACCCUACCAGAAGUAGCAUUUUGAACAAAACCAAGAAUAAUUACAAUAUGAUAAGAAGACAGCAAAAACAUGCAUCCACUGCUACUGAGAGACUCAUUAGACCUUGAAAGCAUUGACCUACAAACAGCAGACAUUAAGAUUCCAACAAAGUGCCCAAAAGUGC